CUGUGCACGCAUUGUAUGGUACUGGGUUAUUUUCUUUUCUUUCAUUUCAGUUUGUGGAUCUUAAUGAUUCGUUCUUUGAUUUUUGGGCAUGUUUGGGUGUCCAAUCACGUUGCCUUUAUAAUUGGCUGCUACCUCGAAUUCGAAUGUUAUUUUUAUUGCCACGGACUAUGGCUACUUAGAAUGGCUGAAAGUGUUCAGUGUUUAGUGUUCAGUGUUUAUAUCGUUGUUCGAUGGAUAGUUGGUGGUAGGUAAGCUUCUUUUGGCCGGUUCCAUUGUGCUGAGCCGCGUUCGUUUCGUUUCGCUUGCUUUCUUUUUGCCACGCUUAUUUGGCUUCCUGCACUUUUCUUUUUCUUUCACCAACAGGCAGAUAUUGGAAGGCUAUGGCAAGUUUUCUUCUUGCUUAAUUCUUUGUUUGUUUGAUUAAACGUGGAAUUGUUAGCCGUGACGCUUCGUUUUUUCUCCAUUUUCUUCUUGUUAGACUGUUAGACUCAGCGUGUCCACCGUCCACCGAACAGCAUUUCUUCGCUUUCAGUCUCCUCUUUGCGUGAGAAUUUCUAAUUGGUUCGUUUUUUGUUCCAUCCAACUGCAAGCGGGAAUUAAUGAAGCAUUUGACGUGCCCUACUCCCGAUAACCGAACACUGAAAGUGAUAGGCAGAUCGCCGAGGCCGGAGAAUGGAACUGGAUUGGAUUAAUGGUAUGGCACUACACGCCAGAUUGGGCAGCGAUAAGGUCUGUGGUGCGACGUUGAUUGAUGGAAGCUGGAUUGACAGAGUUCGAUUCUUAAUACCUGCGGAUUCCCUCCACUUUACGAUUUACAAUUCCAAUUCCAAUUGCCUAGGAUGGUCAAUAGAUUGCGCUCCAAUUCUGCUGGAUUUGGAAUUUCAAAGUAAUGCCCCUUGCUGCAGUCGCAAAUGAAUAAUAAAACAGAAACCUGCAGAAAUAA